CACCCUGCCAGAAAUCAGUUGUAAAAGACGGCAUGGCAGCCUAGAGGAAGGUAAUCCUGGCCAGCUGUUUCCAUCUGAAGCCAACCACAUCAGUAGCACAGCUAGCACUAACAUGCAUCAAUUAAGAAGAUACCUGAGAAGCUGUAAAGAGGAAUUCUGAUACUAAGUGAAACCUCAGGUCAGAACUUAAUGUAAAAUAAAAUGAAGCAAGAAAAAUAUGAUCUUUGCGACCAAACACAGUUGCUAUGUUGAACCAUUCUAAGAUCACAUUAGCUAAUAUUACUUCAAGCAGCUUUCAGUGGCAAUACCAAAAGUGUGACAACGAAAGAAAAACAGAAAACAAAGCCCGGACUUUAACACUUGCAUGCCAAGAAGUCCUUCCACUCAAGCCAAAAGGAGAUGUGUGCCCACCACAUUAAUAUCCAAACAUCUAGCUCUACCUCAUUUUUUCUUUUUUUCAUCCCAUGGACAUCGAACACUAAACAUGAGUUUCUCCUCAUUCUGUUGAUGGUGAAAAAAUGCCAACCAAAAUAUGCCUCAUCUUAAAGCUGGAACUCCUACCUAAAGUAACAACAUCACCGCUUUCUUCAACAGGAACAGUGCUGGGCAUAAAUACAGUGAUCAGUCUUUCACGCUCCAUGAUAGCAAUUCAGUCCAUACAAGUCACCUAACAAGCCAUGCUGCUGAAAGGGAAUCCCAAACAACUGAACAGCUGCAGAGAGGAAAUAAAUGGUGUAAAU